rnacentral:rRNA from 1 species
CCUACGGGCGGCAGCAGUGAGGAAUAUUGGUCAAUGGGCGCGAGCCUGAACCAGCCAAGUAGCGUGAAGGAUGACUGCCCUACGGGUUGUAAACUUCUUUUAUACAGGAAUAAAGUGAGGCACGUGUGCCUUUUUGUAUGUACUUUAUGAAUAAGGAUCGGCUAACUCCGUGCCAGCAGCCGCGGUAAUACGGAGGAUCCGAGCGUUAUCCGGAUUUAUUGGGUUUAAAGGGAGCGUAGGUGGGUUGAUAAGUCAGUUGUGAAAGUUUGCGGCUUAACCGGAAAAUUGCAAUUGAUACUGGCAUUCUUGAGUGUAGAUGAGGUAGGCGGAAUUCGUGGUGUAGCGGUGAAAUGCUUAGAGAUCACGAAGAACUCCGAUUGCGAAGGCAGCUUACUAAUCUGCCACUGACAUUGAUGCUCGAAAGUGUGGGUAUCAAACAGGAUUAGAUACCCUUGUAGUC